UGAAGCAGGGCAGAGCCAAACUCCCCGCAUGGUAGGCUGCCGCCCAGGUGUCCCAGCCCGCAGAUCCCACCUGCCUGCCCCGAGUUCUUCCGCUCUCCGCGGUCAAGGAGGCUUUCUCAGCCCUCCCUUCCUGAGCCAUGAGCGCUGGGCCAGCCCUGAGCCCAAGAGCCUCCGGGGCCCCAGCAGUGAGAGAAAUCAGCUGGCCUGAACUUCGGGUGUCACAUCCGGCUACUCUGGUCUCCCUUCUCCCCAUCUGAGACGUGAGGAGGGAACAGAGAGACCAGAACCUCCCCAGAGGCACCGGGAAAGGCGGAGGAGGAACUGAGCGAGCAGCUGACCAGGACAAUGGUGUGUCAUCAUCCUCUUCCUGCAAGGAGGGACCCCGGAGAUGAGAUGCCCCAGCCUUCCUGUACCUCACCCCCGAUGCCUGUCCCCUCUGAUCGGUGGCCAACAGAGUGACUGGAACAGAAGGAAACAAACCAUGCUCUUCCCAGCUCACACCACUUCGGUGCCGCCCACCCCCCACCCCCAUCACACACAUUGUCCUUUGUUCACGGGCUCAUUCAGCAGAUGAUUAUGAAAGGUCUGCUGAGUACCAGGCAGGGGUGCACAGGAUCAGCUUACAGGCUGGCGGGGAGAAAGCCAGGAAUGAAACAGACACACAAAUGAAUAUCUAAUUACCAACUGCGUCAAGUGGGGAAGGGAACGGAACAGAACGUGGUUCCAUGAGGGUUUCAACAGAGGACCCUGGCUGGCCUGGUGGGGAGCAGGGGUUCACGAAGGACCCUGAGCAGGAGCUGCGAAGGAGAGUGCCAGAGGGUCAUCUGUUGCAGAGACAUCGAAUAAGAUGAGGAGAGAAAAAUGUCCCCAGAGUAAAGCACACAGCUCUGGGCACAGCCAUCAAGGCCCUUCAGGAUGGCCUCCCAGGUAUGUCCAUGCACCUCCUGGCCGAAAGCACCGAGCCUACCGUGCAGUUGUUUGCACUGUCCUCCCAGCCCAGGCUUCCCCUGCCCCUUCUCCCGGCAAAUGCCCAAUGAUCACACAAGCCUUGGCUCAAAAGCCACCUCCUCCAUGAAGCCUUCCCUGACCACCACUCCUCAGGUAGAACAUGUCACUAUAUCCUUGGGUGUUCCUCUAACACUCUGUACAAACCUCUGUUGGAGCACGUGGCAGAUCAUUUUGCCUGCCCAAUGCCUACUCCCCACUUCUUCCUUCCUGAAAGAAUUCUGAUUUUCUUUGGAGAAAUAGUGUUUCCAGCCCCAGCAAUACAUUGGGAUUGUUCUAAUCCAAUCACAAUAAUCCUAUGGUCCACUUUUCCAGACUUCCUUGCAGAUAGAGGUGGCCAAACAACCCACUUCUGUCCAAAAGACAUGAACACAAAUCUAUUGCAGAAGGAAGGACUGGAAAACCUUUGUCUUCCUCUCUUUAUUCCAUCUUGAACACAGAUAGGAUGGCUGGAGCUGUGGCAGCUACCUUGAGACUAUGUGGGACAAGCCAAGGAAAUUACAGAAAUCUUGGCUCUGAUACUAUUGAACGGCUGAGCCAAAGCCAGCAGCAGUCCUACUUUGGACUUCUUGUUUUGUGUGCAAAAACAGUCUUCUUCAUUUAAGCCGUUAUUGAUUGGGCUUUCUGUUGCUGGCAGCUGAGUGCUUCCCUGAUACCUAGUACUUUAUAAUUGAAUCCGUUGCAUGUCUCUCUACCCUACCUGAGGGCAGGAAUCAUUCCCUAUUUGUCUUCAGGACCUUCAGACUUAGCAGGGCGUUAGCAGUGAGCCAGAACCAAGAAAGGGUCCAUUAACUGAAGAGAAGAUUUCUGAAGACUAAGGCCACCCCCAGGUGGAGGUGGAAAUAGCAGUGACUUCAGAGGCUUUGCACUAGUAUUGCCAGGUAAAAUCUAGGAUACCCAGUUAAACUGAAUUUCAGAUAAAUAAGUUGAUGUAAGCCCCAUAUAAUAUCGGUGAUAUACUAACAUUUAUUGUUAAUCUGAAUUUCACAUUUAACAGCAUCCUGGAUUUUUAUUUGCUAAAUCUUAAGGCUGUUUUCUACAAAAGUGCCCUCACCUGUGUUCAGGGCUUUUUCAGUGGGCAUAGGUGGUGGGGCCUUCACCACCACUUAAUCAUACAGAGGGUGCCUUCUGACCCAGGCUGGCCUUCCAUGGUCAUUGUGAAUGCCAGGGCCACCAUUCAUAGAGCUACCCUCCUGGAAAGGUUCUGGGAGCCUGAAGCAGCCCCCUCGGCAUAGGCUCCUGUGGCUGGGCCUUCCAGCUUUGCGCCUGGCCAGUCAGGCCCCAGCCUGUGCUGAGGGCCCACUGUGAAAUCAAUGUUGACCCGAAGAAAAAGGCACAACCUACAAAUUGUAAGUUUCAGUGUUUAUUCAAAGACCUGGCUGGGGACUAUAGCCUGGGAAACAGCCUCUCAGUAGCUCUGAAGGGAAUGCUCCAAAGUGGUAGGAGGAGAGGCCAGCGUAUGUGUAUGUGUGAUUUUGGUUGCAGAAUACAGGCAAUCAAGUAUAUCUCUGGGGAAGAUGUCACUUUUUAGUCACAAGGAACAAAUCUCUCAGUUAAUGAUUUUAGUGCUUUUUCUAUGUAGGGGGAGAUGCAGGAAUCUGGGUCCAUUAAAAUUCUUACUGAGCCAUAUCUACCUAAGGGGCCUGUCUUUGCAAAGCCCAGAGUGCCUUAUCUGUUUUUCUCUCUCGAAGUCCUUUCAGGGUGUCCUGCUGGUCAGCGACGGCCGUGGCUAAUAACUCGAUCCUUGCGGAACUAGAUGGGAGGCCGCAUUCUUUGUUUUACUCAGGUCGGCUGCGGAUCCGCUCAGAGCCUGGGGACAAACCUGGCUCAGGUCCAAGCCCUGCCAUGGACACCCUGUAUAAUCUUUAGCGAGUCAUGCCGAUUCUCUGAGCCUCGGUUUCCCCCUCUGUAAAACAGGGAUUAUAACCACCUCCCCGGGUUGGUAGCAACAGUGAAAGAUUUGCUCAUAUAAAAUUACUCUGGGUGCUUCGUGAGGCGGAUGAAAGGGGGGGGCCCAGCAGCUGGGGCGUGUUCAACCUACUGAUGAGAAGAGUAAUUCGUCCCUCACCUGCUGGUCCAGGUCCCAAUGUUGUCUGUUGCUACCUGACACAUCAGUCCCAGAUUGAGCAACUUAAAAUAGCAAACAUUUAUUGUCUCACCAUUUUUGUGGUCCAGAAAUUUGAGAGUAGUUAUGCAGGGUGGUUCUGCUCAGGGCCUCUCCUGAGGUUACAGUCAAGGUGUCACCCGAAGGCGUGACCGGGGCCGGAAGAUCUGUUUCCAUCGUUGUCCACUCACGUGGCUGCUGGUGGGAGAGCCCUGUGCUCUGCUGGCUGUUGGCAGAAGGGCCCCUUCUGUGGCACGUGGGUCUCUCCAGGAAGCUGCUCCAGGGUCCCCACAGUGUACCGGCUGGCAUUCCCCUGGGGCUGGUGAUGGAGGAGAGAGUAAGGCAGAAGUUACGAUGUCUUUGAUGACCACGUGUCAUCUUUUCUGCCUAUCCUAGUGGUCAUGUAGGCCAGUCCUGACAGAGGGGAUAUAUGAUGGCGUGACUACCAGGACCCAGGGUCACCGAGGACCAUCCCGGAGACUAGCUGUCACUGUCCCCUGCUCCCUCACAUACCAGCAACCUGGCCAUUAUGUUCCCCUCUUUCUUCAUGCUCUCUCUCCCUCGGUCACCCAAGCCAGGAUUGGGACUCUGCAAUGCCUCUCUGACCAGUUCCUCCGUUCUUCCUCUCUGUCCCCACCCAGAUGAGAUCCUCGUCACUUCUCUCCUACAAACCCAGGCUUUUCUAAUCCAAAACGUACAUGUCGCACAAAACUUUCAUUGGCUCCCCAGCAUACACGGAUUCCUGAGCGAGACACUCAGCCCCAUGCCUGGCCUCCUUCUAUCUCUCCAGCCCCUGCUCACCACUCCCCAACGGGCCUGACUUGAGCCUCGCCGGCUAUCCACUGUGAAAGUUAUACCCCUGCCUUGACCUUGUUAACUCUGCCUGGAACACAUACUCUUCAUCUGGCCAUAGAACUCUUAGGCAUCCUUCAAAACCCACUUCCCAGAAUCCUCCUCUGCCUGCCCAGGACAGUUAGUCUGUCCCUUCCCAGUCACCCUCCAGCCUCUGCUCACAAGCUUGUAACCAUCUAAGUACCUGCCAAACCCUCGCUUCAUAGCUCUGGGCUUCCCCAGGGCAGUCACAGAGCCUAGCUCAUCUCAGUGUCUUUAGAACAAAGCCCAGGGCUGGGCACAUGGGUGGGGGUUCUGCUG